rnacentral:rRNA from 1 species
AACGUAGGAGACAAACGUUAUCCGGAGUUACUGGGCGUAAAGGGCGUGUAGGCGGUAUGUUAAGUCCGCUGUGAAAGUCGGGGGCUCAACCCUCGGAUGCCGGUGGAUACUGUCGGGCUUGAGUACGGAAGAGGCGAGUGGAAUUCCUGGUGUAGCGGUGAAAUGCGCAGAUAUCAGGAGGAACACCAAUUGCGAAGGCAGCUCGCUGGGACGUUACUGACGCUGAGACGCGAAAGCGUGGGGAGCAAACAGG